AGAACGAACGCUGGCGGCAUGCCUAAUACAUGCAAGUCGAACGAAGGCUUCGGCCUUAGUGGCGCACGGGUGCGUAACGCGUGGGAAUCUGCCCCUUGGUUCGGAAUAACAGUUGGAAACGACUGCUAAUACCGGAUGAUGACGAAAGUCCAAAGAUUUAUCGCCAAGGGAUGAGCCCGCGUAGGAUUAGCUAGUUGGUGAGGUAAAGGCUCACCAAGGCGACGAUCCUUAGCUGGUCUGAGAGGAUGAUCAGCCACACUGGGACUGAGACACGGCCCAGACCUCCGUACGGGGAGCAGCAGGUAGGGAAUAUUGGACAAGUGGGACAAAGCCUGAUCCAGCAAUCGCCGCGUGAGUGAUAGGAAGGUCCGUUAGGGUGUAAAGUCUUACUUUACCCGGAGAGUAGAUAAGUGAACUAGUAGUA
rnacentral:rRNA from 1 species